rnacentral:rRNA from 1 species
AAAGGAAUAGACGGGGGCCCGCACAAGCGGCGGAGCAUGCGGAUUAAUUCGAUGCAACGCGAAGAACCUUACCAAGGCUUGACAUGCACUAGACCGCCCUAGAGAUAGGGUUUCCCUUUGGGGCUGGUGUACAGGUGGUGCAUGGUUGUCGUCAGCUCGUGUCGUGAGAUGUUGGGUUAAGUCCCGCAACGAGCGCAACCCCUAUGCUAUGUUGCCAGCACGUAAUGGUGGGGACUCAUGGGAGACUGCCGGGGUCAACUCGGAGGAAGGUGGGGACGACGUCAAAUCAUCAUGCCCCUUAUGUCUUGGGCUUCACGCAUGCUACAAUGGCCGGCACAAUGGGUUGCGAGAUCGUGAGGUUGAGCUAAUCCCAUAAAACCGGUCUCAGUUCGGAUUGGGGUCUGCAACUCGACCCCAUGAAGUCGGAGUCGCUAGUAAUCGCAGAUCAGCAACGCUGCGGUGAAUACGUUCCCGGGCCUUGUACACACCGCCCGU